rnacentral:rRNA from 1 species
CUAUGUGUGGACGGGAUAAGUGCUGAAAGCAUCUAAGCAUGAAGCCCCCCUCAAGAUGAGAUUUCCCAUAGCGCAAGCUAGUAAGAUCCCUGAAAGAUGAUCAGGUUGAUAGGUCAGAGGUGGAAGCAUGGCGACAUGUGUAGCUGACUGAUACUAAUCGAUCGAGGACUUAACCAA